CCAGACAGCCAGGAUGUUGGCUUAGAAGCAGCCAUCAUUUAAAGAAAGCGUAAUAGCUCACUGGUCGAGUCGGCCUGCGCGGAAGAUGUAACGGGGCUAAACCAUGCACCGAAGCUGCGGCAGCGACACUGAUGUGUUGUUGGGUAGGGGAGCGUUCUGUAAGCCUGUGAAGGUGGCCUGUGAGGGUUGCUGGAGGUAUCAGAAGUGCGAAUGCUGACAUAAGUAACGAUAAAGCGGGUGAAAAGCCCGCUCGCCGGAAGACCAAGGGUUCCUGUCCAACGUUAAUCGGGGCAGGGUGAGUCGACCCCUAAGGCGAGGCCGAAAGGCGUAGUCGAUGGGAAACGGGUUAAUAUUCCCGUACUUGGUGUUACUGCGAAGGGGGGACGGAGAAGGCUAUGUUGGCCGGGCGACGGUUGUCCCGGUUUAAGCGUGUAGGUGUGUGUUCCAGGUAAAUCCGGUUCACUUUAACACUGAGGCGUGACGACGAGGCACUACGGUGCUGAAGCAACAAAUGCCCUGCUUCCAGGAAAAGCCUCUAAGCAUCAGGUAACAUCAAAUCGUACCCCAAACCGACACAGGUGGUCAGGUAGAGAAUACCAAGGCGCUUGA
rnacentral:rRNA from 1 species